AUGAAGAUUUCUUCAGCUGGUAUGCCCAGACAACACUCAGUUCGAUUUCUUACUGGAGAUGAGCUAGUAUUGGGUUGUCCUGUAGAGCCACGGUCAAUUUCCUCCUGGCAAUAUUUGCAAUAUAAGUUGUUGCAGCCGUGGACUCCAUCACUUCAGACAAAUUUCAAGAAUGAGGCCUUACAGGAAGAGAAAAUGGUGGGUUUCAUGGUGGCAUUAAUAGAACAGAAGCAUUGGCUUCUUUGGGACUGCUUCUCCUUUGAUGAAAAUUUUAGUGUGCCACAUGUUUCUCCAAAAGUUCUGUGUGUCACAUCACCAUGGGGUCCCGAUGUUCAAAAAAAUCCAAUGACGAGUCACAUGGGUUGGCUGGAACUUGAGAUAGCCGCCUUGAUGACUAUUGUGAAGGCUGAGUUCAUAAAUAGCGGCCUACAGAUUCAUCCCAGUAAGAAUGCUCAAGUAAAUUUCCCCUGGUCCAGUUGUUACUUGUUUCUUCAGGUUGGAAAGUUGCAGAAUGUUAUGGUGAAGCUCAAUACUUGGCCCUCUGGAGGGUGGUUCUUAUCGGCUGUGACAUUCUCACCAAAUCUGCAUGCAAUUGUGUGCUGCAACAAGGCAGUGAGCAUUCAAUCUCUCGUUGUUGCCCUUCAUAUGGCUGAAUGCUGUGGUGUGUUAAUCUCAGUUAUAGUCACUCACACGAUAUGGUUACACAAACUGGUAUCCCCUGAUGGUAGCCCGGUAUACACGCAAGUCAGAAUUGGGAGCAUUUUAUUCAAUUGGACCUCUCAGGGAGCUCAUAAAGACAAGGAAUAUUUUUCUGUAUAG
rnacentral:rRNA from 1 species